AUUGAACGCUGGCGGCAGGCCUAACACAUGCAAGUCGAGCGGCAGCGGGGGAAAGCUUGCUUUCCCGCCGGCGAGCGGCGGACGGGUGAGUAAUGUCUGGGAAACUGCCUGAUGGAGGGGGAUAACUACUGGAAACGGUAGCUAAUACCGCAUAACGUCUUCGGACCAAAGUGGGGGACCUUCGGGCCUCAUGCCAUCAGAUGUGCCCAGAUGGGAUUAGCUAGUUGGUGGGGUAACGGCUCACCAAGGCGACGAUCCCUAGCUGGUCUGAGAGGAUGACCAGCCACACUGGAACUGAGACACGGUCCAGACUCCUACGGGAGGCAGCAGUGGGGAAUAUUGCACAAUGGGCGCAAGCCUGAUGCAGCCAUGCCGCGUGUAUGAAGAAGGCCUUCGGGUUGUAAAGUACUUUCAGCGGGGAGGAAGGUGUUGUGGUUAAUAACCAGAGCAAUUGACGUUACCCGCAGAAGAAGCACCGGCUAACUCCGUGCCAGCCGCCGCCGUAAAAC
rnacentral:rRNA from 1 species